rnacentral:lncRNA from 1 species
UGAACAUGAUAAUCAACACUAUAUAGAAAGAGGUGCAUUAACAGAAGUAGAUUGUUUGAAUAAUUUCCUGCCACAAAUGAGGCAAGAUUCUUCAGUGUUCUAACCCAUUUCUGUGAAUUGUGAGGCUUUCUACUGUGGUUGGUAGGAAUAGGGACUCUCUGGCCUUUUGUGAGCUCCAACAACUGUUUCCUCUUCUGUUUAAUCCUUUCACGUGGUUCUUUCCCUGACCUUGGGUAACUUCCUCACACAUACGCGUUAAUUAAUACUCAACCGGAGACUAAAGUGGACCCUUGGCACACCUCCAGAACUGUCUCUCUGCACAGCUUUCUGAUCCUGUACUUGGCUGUCCUGGACUUGCAACUGAAUGUCCUCGACCCAGAGACACUGCCGGUCUCCACUUGGGCUCCCAGUGUGCUGGGGCCUGAAAAUAUUCUCUACACAUUUAGCUGGAGAUAAUUAUAGUUACACCUCAUUUGUUUCCAUCUUUCAGGGAUCACUGUCCUCAGUUGCCUAGUGUCAAUAUCUUGAAUGCUGUUGUUUCUUAAUAUUUUGUCCAGUUUUUUGGUUAUUUCAGGUGGGAGGGUAAAUCAGGUCCCUGUUGCUCCAUCUUGACUGGAAGCAGAAGUUGUCUUUAAAAAAAAAAAAAAAACUUCCUCAAAAAUGUUUUAAAAAAUAGAAGAAAACAAAAAACAAAACCACUAGAUUAUAGUGACUUAAACACAAAGAGACAAACAGCAAAUACCUAAUAUUACAAUAACAUGAGAAACAGAUUUUGACUCAAUGUGUAAAGAAUGGCUUUCUAUAAUCAAAGUUAUGCAAAGAUGGAAUAGUUUUCCUUGAAAAGUGGUGAGUUUCUCUAUUGCAGCAAAUGCUAACAGAGGUUAUCAGCAUUGUUGGAAUAUUACAGGGC